AGUGAACGCUGGCGGCAUGCCUAACACAUGCAAGUCGAACGGCAGCACAGUAAGCGCGUGCUCCUACGGGUGGCGACUGGCGGACGGGUGAGGAGUAGAUCAGAAACUUCUUUUUCUUGGGUGACAACGUGGGGAAACAUACGCUAAUACCUCAUAUAUUCUACGGGAUAGUUCAGGGGUUCUUGGCACUUUUCGCGUCUGAUUUAGCCGGUGUCGCAUUAGCUAGUUGGCAUGGUAAAGGCCUACCAAGGCGACGAUGCGUAGCUGAUCUGAGAGGAUGAUCGGCCACACUGGAACUGAGACACGGUCCAGACUCCUACGGGAGGCAGCAGUAGGGAAUCUUGGGCAAUGGGCGAAAGCUUGACGGAGCAAUGCCGCGUGAGUGAAGAAGGCCUUCGGGUCGUAAAGCUCUGUUGUUAGGAAAGAAAAGAUGCGGGUGUAACCAUGGAUGUCUUGACGGUACCUAAAGAGAAAGCACCGGCUAACUACGUG
rnacentral:rRNA from 1 species